AAGAAAUUCCUGACUGUGAGGGUGGGCAGGCCCUGGCACAGGUUGCCCAGAGAAGCUGUGGCUGCCCCUGGAUCCCUGGAAGUGUCCAAGGCCAGGUUGGACGGGGCUUGGAGCAACCUGGGCUAGUGGAAGGUGUCCCUGUCCGUGGCAAGGAGUGGGAUAAGAUGGUUUUUAAGAUCCCUUUGAACCCAAAUCAUCCUGUGAUUCUGUGAACACACCUGGCCCAGUCUUGUGGGACAGUCCCUGUCCUGGAACUCCGGGCGGCCGGGUGGGCUCUGCUUUUGCCGGUACGGAUUUAUACCUCCAGCAUCCUGUUCCCAGGGAAUUUGUUGCUGCUUUGGAGCUUCCCUCUUGCUGUAAGAUUGGAUAAAUGAUUUUAGCACUUUUUGCCAGCGGUGGCAAACAAGGUACAAAGCCCUGGAUUCAACAGUGGUGUUUUGUGUGGAGAGUGACAAAUCCCACAUCCAUGAAUAGGGCAUUAUAAACCCCCGGGGCUCGUAGGGAACAGCCCGUGUUGUUUGUGGGCCGUGCACAGUGUCCUCCAUUGUGCUGUGGAGAGCGGCCCUACAGAGUGCUGGGGGCUCUGCUUGAUGUCCCUGAGGGUUCUCCACUCGAUACAGUGUCUCCUUGGUGAUGUCUGGUUUAUUUAUUGAUUAUUUUUUUAAAAGAUAUCUUUGUUUAAGCUGAAUAAAUGAAAACUGCCAACCGUA